UAACCAGAUAGCCUUAGCGGGCGAUAAGCGGGAUUCGUUACCCCGUUUUUGGUUAAUCCUUUCGUAACG
rnacentral:sRNA from 1 species